AACAGGGUUGUGUUGGUUUUACCUAUUUGUCUUUUUUGGGGGUUAUUUCCUUGGAUUUGGACUUUGACUUCCCUUCAAGACUCAACCUGAGGUUCUGGGCUGUUGCGGUGACCGUAUUACCGCCACGCCAGCGGCAUGACCAGACCAGCCAGGCCACAACAACAUAGCUACAGUAGCCUGAAGGAUGGGACUGGCCCGCUGCACUGUCUGCACGCUACUGGGGCCCGAGAGGGCUCGGUUAGGGCUUGGUUUAGCCCUUCACACCCAAAUAACUGUCAUUCACUUGGCGUUCACACGUCUCCACACUAAUCCUAGGAAGCAAGGGAGCCGGUGACCCCAAAAUGGCGCCAUCUACGGUUCUUGAGUUGACUGAAGAGCCAGUGAAGAGUUGUUCCAGUGAAGAGCUGUUCCAGUGAAGAGUUGUUCCAGUGAAGAGCUGUUCCAGUGAAGAGUUGUUCCAGUGAAGAGCUGUUCCAGUGAAGAGUUGUUCCAGUGAAGAGCUGUUCCAGUGAAGAGUUGUUCCAGUGAAGAGAUUCCCACAAGGUCUCAGACUCCAAGAUGGACAAAUGCUUACAAGAAGAAACAGAUGAAGACAGAGACAGAG